GGGGAAGUUGCUCAAUGGUAGAGCUCUUGCCUAGCAGGUACAAAGCCCUGGGUUCAAUCCCUAGCACCACCA
rnacentral:tRNA from 1 species